CCUACGGGUGGCAGCAGUGAGGAAUAUUGGUCAAUGGGCGCGAGCCUGAACCAGCCAAGUCGCGUGAAGGAUGACUGCCCUACGGGUUGUAAACUUCUUUUAUCAAGGAAUAAAGUGAGGCACGUGUGCCUUUUUGUAUGUACUUUAUGAAUUAGGAUCGGCUAACUCCGUGCCAGCAGCCGCGGUAAUACGGAGGGUCCGAUCGUUUUCCGGAUUUUUUGGGUUUAAAGGGAGCGUAGAUGGGUUGUUAAGUCAGUUGGGAAAGUUUGCGGGUCAACCGUAAAAUUGCAAUUGAUACUGGCAGCCUUGAGUACAGGUGAGGUAGGCGGAAUGCGUGGUGUAGCGGUGAAAUGCUUAGAUAUCACGAAGAACUCCGAUUGCGAAGGCAGCUUACUAAACUGCCACUGACAUUGAUGCUCGAAAGUGUGGGUAUCAAACAGGAUUAGAUACCCGUGUAGUC
rnacentral:rRNA from 1 species